rnacentral:rRNA from 1 species
CCUACGGGAGACAGCAGUGGGGAAUCUUGCGCAAUGGGCGGAAGCCUGAAGCAGCGACGCCGCGUGAGGGACGAAGGCCUUCGGGUCGUAAACCGCUUUCAGCAGGGAAGAGGCCCUCCCGGUGACGGUAUCUGCAGAAGAAGCCCGGGAUAACAACGUGCCAGAAGCCGCGGUAAUACGUCGGGGGCGAGCGUUAUCCGGAUUCGUUGGGCGUAAAGAGCGCGUAGGCGUCCCUUAAGGACGGGGGUCAAAGACCGGGGCUCAACCCCGGUCCGCCCCCGAUACCGGCAGGCUUGGGUCUGGGAGGGGAGUGCGGAAUUCCCAGUGUAGCGGUAGAAUGCGCAGAUAUUGGGAAGAACACCGGCGGCGAAGGCGGCCUUCUGGGCCACGACUGACGCUGAGGCGCGAAAGCUAGGGGAGCGAACAGGAUUAGAUACCCGGGUAGUC